AUUGAACGCUGGCGGCAGGCCUAACACAUGCAAGUCGAGCGGAUGAAGGGAGCUUGCUCCUGGAUUCAGCGGCGGACGGGUGAGUAAUGCCUAGGAAUCUGCCUGGUAGUGGGGGAUAACGUCCGGAAACGGGCGCUAAUACCGCAUACGUCCUGAGGGAGAAAGUGGGGGAUCUUCGGACCUCACGCUAUCAGAUGAGCCUAGGUCGGAUUAGCUAGUUGGUGGGGUAAAGGCCUACCAAGGCGACGAUCCGUAACUGGUCUGAGAGGAUGAUCAGUCACACUGGAACGUAGACACGGUCCAGACUCCUACGGGAGGCAGCAGUGUGGUAUAUUGGACAAUGGGCGAAAACCUGAUCCAGCCAUGCCGCGUGUGUGAAGAAGGUCUUCGGAUUGUAAAGCACUUUAAGUUGGGAGGAAGGGCAUUAAGUUAAUACCUUGCUGUUUUGACGUUACCAACAGAAUAAGCACCGGCUAACUUCGUG
rnacentral:rRNA from 1 species